AGUACUUCUAUGUAUGUUUUUUUCUCUGGUCAAUAGCACAGGGAUCUUCCCAUUCUGACAGUCAGCUUGUGGCCUCUCUAUCAUGCCUAGCUGAUUAUUAGAAUGUUGCUGGCCCAGCAGAUUACAGGAUAUAAAUAGGUGCAUUUGUUGUCUGACCAGUUAUUUUCCUGGAAUCAGACACAUUUACGCCCGCUAAAGACCAAGGCUUCUCUGCUUCUUGGCUCAGAUUUGGAAGGAAGGAGUAUUGAGGCCCCAAGAACUCACGAGAUGGCUUCCCCACACUUCUAUGGCACGGCACCGCUUUCCAGGUCUCUACCGUCGCUUCCUUGCAUUCCCCUUCCUCAGGCAAGACUUAAAUGGCAUGACUUCAUCAAGAAUGCUUUUGAAAGAGCUGUAAGUGCACGGGUGAGUAACAACUUUUCCUUAUAAAAAGCAAAGCAGACUUCUAUUUCCCUUCAAAAAAAAAUUGGAAGGAAAGAUUAAAAUCUAAAAACCACUUCCAUUAAAGUAAUCUGUGGCAAAUCUUAUAUUCUUCCCCUUACUACUACUACUACUAAAAGCAAAUCCAUUCUGUAGUAAGAUUCCAGUUUUGAGAAAUGGCUUUUUAUAAGGUAAAUACAACAAUGUCACUUUAUUUUUACCUCCCCAUCAAUGAAAACCAUUUUUUAAAACUGCCUGCUCAUUUCUGAUACAUAGAGUGGAAUAAAAUCAGAGAUCCUGUACAUGCCAAUCAAGUAUUAGCGAUUAUGAC